rnacentral:rRNA from 1 species
AUUGAACGCUGGCGGCAGGCCUAACACAUGCAAGUCGAGCGAGCGGCGGACGGGCGAGUAAUGUCUGGGAAACUGCCUGACGGAGGGGGAUAAGUACUGGAAAUGGUAGCAAAUACCGCAUACCAUCAGAUGUGCCCAGUUGGGAUUAGCUCGUGGGUGGGGUAACGGCUCACCUAGGCGACGAUCCCUAGCUGGUCUGAGAGGAUGACCAGCCACACUGGGACUGAGACACGGUCCAGACUCCUACGGGAGGCAGCAGUGGGGAAUAUUGCGCAAUGGGCGCAAGCCUGAUGCAGCAAUGCCGCGUGGAUGAAGAAGGCCUUCGGGUUGUAAAGUACUUUCAGCGGGGAAGCGUUACCCGCACAAGAAGCACCGGCUAACUCCGUGCCAGCAGCCGCGGUAAUUC